rnacentral:rRNA from 1 species
GAUGAACGCUGGCGGCGUGCCUAAUACAUGCAAGUCGAGCGAACAGAUGAGGAGCUUGCUCCUCUGACGUUAGCGGCGGACGGGUGAGUAACACGUGGAUAACCUACCUAUAAGACUGGGAUAACUUCGGGAAACCGGAGCUAAUACCGGAUAAUAUAUUGAACCGCAUAGUUCAAUAGUGAAAGACGGUUUUGCUGUCACUUAUAGAUGGAUCCGCGCCGCAUUAGCUAGUUGGUAAGGUAACGGCUUACCAAGGCAACGAUGCGUAGCCGACCUGAGAGGGGGAAUGGCCCCCCUGGAACUGGGACAAGGUCCAGAACCCUAAGGGGGGGCGCAGGAGGGAAUUUUACGGAAAGGGGGAAAGCCUGACGGAGGAAACGCCGGGGAGGGAUGAAGGGUCUUCGAUUGUAAAAAUCUGGUAUUUGGGAAAAAAAAAUGUGUAAGUAAACUAGCCAGUCUUGGAGGUAACUAAUCAGAAAAGCCAGGCUAAAUACGUG